GCUCCCGUAGCUCAGGUGGAUAGAGCAUCUGCCUUCUAAGCAGAGGGUCGCAGGUUCGAGUCCUGCCGGGAGCG
rnacentral:tRNA from 1 species